CGUGUCCUGGGUGUGCAUGGGAAAAAACCUUUGGAGAGAAGCCACGUAUGGUGCCAGAUAAAGGGACUGUUUGAGUGUCCUAAGUUCAGAGGUGAAGCACAGCUGACAGGACUUCAAAUGUGAGGCUGAGUCCUCUGAGACCUCCAGGAUGAAGCAACCCUUUCAGGAUGGCAGAGCAACCAGCUGAGAAAGGUGUCUGUGUUCCAGUCCCCAGGAGCUGCCCAGCCAUCUCUUGGAUGCCUUUUACCCAGGCUAUUGGGGAUCAGCUAGUGCUUUCAAAUUAUGGUUCUGGAGAAGACACUCUUGGACAGCAAGGAGAUCAAACCAGUCAAUCCUAAUGGAAAUCAACCCUGAAUAUUCACUGGAAGGGCUGAAGCUGAAGCUCCAAUACUUCGGCCACCUGGUGCAAAGAGCUGAUUUACUGGAAAAGACCCUGAUGCUGGGAAAGAUUGAGGGCAUGAGGAGAAGGGAGCAACAGAGGAUGAGGUGGUUGGAUGGCGUCACUGACCCAAUGGACAUGAACAACAAACUCUGGGAGAUUGUGAAGGACGAGGGAACCUGGUGUGCUGCAGUCCAUGGUGUCGCAAAGAGUUGGACAAUAAUUUAGCAACUGAACAACAACAUAGGGAUCACUGAUGCUUUGCUAAUAUCUAAAUGCAUGUGUUAUGACUUUCUCAUAUGUUCGAGUGAGAAAAUUGAGUCAGACUUCCUGAUGCAGAAAGAAUACACAUGUAUUGAUUACUGAACAUGAAAUAACUACAUUAUUUUCACAGCUUGCAGUUUUUAAGCAACCAAGAAUCU
ensembl:lncRNA